rnacentral:rRNA from 1 species
UACGUAGGGUCCAAGCGUUAUCCGGAAUCACUGGGCGUAAAGCGUGCGUAGGCGGGUGCUUAAGUGCAAUGCGAAAUCCUGUGGCUCAACCAUAUGGACGGUAUUGCAUACUGGGUACCUUGAGGAAUGCAGAGGCAAGUGGAAUUACCGGUGUAGCAGUGAAAUGCGUAGAGAUCGGUAGGAACACCAAUGGCGAAGGCAGCUUGCUGGGCAUUAUCUGACGCUAAGGCACGAAAGCGUGGGGAGCGAACAGG